rnacentral:lncRNA from 1 species
AAAAAAUUGUUGCCCUUAUACAAAACUUCGGAAGUCUUCACUCAGCCGAACUGCUUUUUGCGAAUUGCGUGAAAAUGGGAUUUUUACAAGGUCCU